AGCUUGCUUGCUCAGUUGGUUAGAGCGCCGUGCUAGUAACACGAAGACGAUGAGUUCGAAUCUCAUGCAAGCCA
rnacentral:tRNA from 1 species